rnacentral:snoRNA from 1 species
AGACUGUGAUGAUUUCUGUGUUGGCCAAAUCGGCCUUGCCGACUAAUCUGCUAUAUCACCACCCAGGUUCUGAGUCC